rnacentral:rRNA from 1 species
GUGCCAGCCGCCGCGGUAAUACGGAGGGUGCAAGCGUUGUCCGGAAUCAUUGGGUGUAAAGGGUGUGCAGGCGGAGGUCUAAGUCGGAGGUGAAAUCUUGCCGCUUAACGGUAAAAGUGCCUUCGAAACUGGAUUUCUUGAGUUCGGAAGAGGUCGGUGGAAUUCGUGGUGUAGCGGUGAAAUGCAUAGAUAUCACGAAGAACACCAGUGGCGAAGGCGGCCGACUGGUCCGAUACUGACGCUGAGACACGAGAGCGUGGGGAGCGAACAGGAUUAGAAACCCUGGUAGUCC